rnacentral:rRNA from 1 species
GAGCGGUAUUGUUUCUUCGGAAACGAUAUAGCGGCGCACGGGUGCGGAACACGUGUGCAACCUGCCUUUAUCUGGGGGAUAGCCUUUCGAAAGGAAUAUUAAUACCCCAUAAUAUUUUGAAUGGCAUCAUUUAAAAUUGAAAACUCCGGUGGAUAGAGAUGGGCACGCGCAAUAUUAGAUAGUUGGUAGGGUAACGGCCUACCAAGUCAGUGAUCUUUAGGGGGCCUGAGAGGGUGAUCCCCCACACUGGUACUGAGACACGGACCAGACUCCUACGGGAGGCAGCAGUGAGGAAUAUUGGACAAUGGGUGAGAGCCUGAUCCAGCCAUCCCGCGUGAAGGACGACGGCCCUAUGGGUUGUAAACUUCUUUUGUACAGGGAUAAACCUUUCCACGUGUGGAAAGCUGAAGGUACUGUACGAAUAAGCACCGGCUAACUCCGUG